GGUGGCUCAGUGGUAGAGUGCUUGCCUAGCAUGCACGAGGCCCUGGGUUCGAUUCCUCAGCACCA
rnacentral:tRNA from 1 species